GCCUACGGGGGGCAGCAGUGGGGGAUAUUGCACAAUGGGGGGAACCCUGAUGCAGCGACGCCGCGUGGGUGAAGAAGCGCCUCGGCGCGUAAAGCCCUGUCAGCAGGGAAGAAAAUGACGGUACCUGAAGAAGAAGCACCGGCUAACUACGUGCCAGCAGCCGCGGUAAUACGUAGGGUGCAAGCGUUAUCCGGAUUUACUGGGUGUAAGGGCGAGUAGACGGCGUUGCAAGUCAGAUGUGAAAGGCUAGGGCUCAACCUUAGGAGAGCAUCUGAAACUGUAAUGCUAGAGGGCAGGAGAGGUAA
rnacentral:rRNA from 1 species